CUUCCUGCACGGAGCCUGUUUCUCCCUCUGCCUGUGUCUCUGCCUCUCUCUGUGUCUCUCAUGAAUAAAUAAAUAAAAUCUUUAAAAAAAUAAAAAUAAAAAGAAGAAAUUCAUAUUGAAGUAGUUUCAUUAUUUGAUUUGUUUGGCAUUAUAGGAAUCAAGCUGGUGCUAAGUCUUUUUAAAUGGUUAUGUAAGCAAGCUGAACUGUAAAUCUUCCUUCAGGAAUGUGUAUUAAGAUUAUGGAAUAGGUGAAAGACUAUUGAUAGGGGAGAAAGUGGGUAUGACUAAAUGGAUCUUUAUGGCCGUAUGAUCUAUCUUUUCCUUGAAAGUUUCUGAAGAAAAGUGGAAAGAUCAUUCUGUUGCGCUCCUCCAUUCUUGUUUUUAAAAGAUCAACUCCCAAGCCCUACAAAUGGCUUGUACUGAACUUUCACAUUUGAUUUAAAGAUUGUUAAACAUUAAAAAAAAAAAAGAAGUGGACAUCAGACCUCGAUAGUCCUGCAAGUAAUCCUCCAACCUAUUCCUGUGAGCCUAUAGAAGACUUUCGUUUACUAGUCAAAAAACAAGGCAAGUAAAUCUAAGCCAUGGUUUUGGGGUUACUUUUAUUAUGCAAUAAUAUACAUAUAAGCGCUAUGACGGAAUGUUCUAUUUUAACAUCCCAGGUCAUUAAUAUAACUGUGGGAGGACCCUUAACUUCCAAUUCUGGUUCAACUGUUCUUUGCCUGUUGGCCCCAUAAUGUAGAAAAAGGAAAAUACUGUUAUUUAUGAACAGAAAACAGCCGACACUUCCAGUUUCACCAACUUAACAGAUCAAUUCCACAAACAAAAUAAAAAUUAUACCAUACAACUGGUUACGAGUACUUAAUAGAUGCAAGAAAUACACCUGUGUAAAAAUACAAAAAGGAUCUCACGAUAUUGAUUACAAAAUUCCUUUCCCACUGAGGUCACUAUAAACCCAAACCCCAUGAGACUAUUGACUGCAUCCAAGUUUUAGAUACAUAUGGCUCUCAAUGUCAUGAGGCAAUCUCAGUUUUGUGUUGCUAACAGUAACUCCCCACAAAGUUUGCUUUUCUAUAGCCUAGUGGGUGUGGGGGCCACCCAGGCAGAAAUUUAACGACUCAACAAUCUUGCUCAGCUUCAAGCUUCUCUACAGUACAGGCCCCGUCUAAAACAUAUAGUCCCAGUCAAUUGCAUAUGCAUAGCCUGCAAUAAGCCUACUACCCAGUGCAGCUUUACCUUACAACUCCUGUUGCCAACUAGAGACUUAUACCUACCAAGAGGAUGGGCCUUACUUUGUGCCAGUAUGGCCCAUUAUAUCAUUCCUAAAUGAUUCUCGGGGUUAUAUACUGUAGGCAAACUAGGAUUAUUGUUCUUCUCACCACCAGCAACCCGUUAUCAACAACAACUGCCUCAUUUACCCUCCAAUUGCAAUGAUAAUGUGGUUCUCAUAUCAGAUGGGGAAACAGCAGCCUUAGCCCUCUCCCUCGUGGCUCUCCCAGCACUAGGAAAGGUCUUACAUCAUGAGAUAAAACUGUUUGCUCAACAGAACCUUAAACAAUACAUCCCAAGUCUUAGAUGCUCUAAAUCAAGAACUAAGUGAAGUUAGGGCAGGAUUUCUAGAAAAUCGGGCAACUAUUGAUUACUUACCACUUCAACAUCACUUAGGUUUUAAAGAGUUUCCACACAUGUGCUGUUUUAAUAUAACUAACAAUUAUUAUAAGAUCUCACAACUAAUAAGUGACAUUCGAGCUCAACUGGACAAAAUCAGAGUCUCUCCAGGAUUAUUUGAUUGGCCUGGAAACUGGGGUCAAUAUUUCAGAGAUGCCAUUAUACUGAUGGAACUAAUUGUUGGAUUUUGACUUUCUUUCUGUGUUUGUUGGAGCCUGUGUCUCCUCAUGCCUUCCAACAUCUCUUGGGAGCCAUACCAUGGACCUCUUGACAUACCUCUGAGAAUACCCUGACUGCCGACCCCUCACACUGUCCUUUUCCAGCCUCAAGAAGCCAGAGCAGUCAUCGUCCCACUCCCUAACAGCAGUUAAGAGAGCAUAAGGAAAAGGAGCAGCAAGCAGAGGGAGAAGCAGGCUCCCCGCUGAGCA